UCCACCAAAAUCUAAGUAUAAGAUUUUAAGCCUCUCGAAGAAUAAUAAAGGCUUUCCGGACCCUACUCCUACAAAGUACGUCCCUGGCGUACAGAGCGGUAAUAUGUCUCUCCAAAUAUCUGAGCUCUGGUAAGCGUGGAAACUCAACCCCUUGGGAGGAUGGGUUGUUGUUGUUAAAAUGUGAAAG
rnacentral:ribozyme from 1 species